rnacentral:lncRNA from 1 species
AUGCACAGUGGCUCAGCUUGGGGGUGUUCAGUCACCAGUUACUCCGGUCUCCGUUGUGCACAGGAGCCGAUCUGUGGGCCAUCGGGGCUGGUGACGGAUCCGGAUCCGAGGUUGCAGAAGGCGCCAGUGUGUGAGGCUCGGGCUCAGCCUCAGGUCUCAGGGACAGCUCUACUUCCUUCAUGGGCACCUAAGGUUCAGGGGAAGAGGGCUGGGGAGGGCGAGGCUGGGCCCUGGGGUCCCUGGGAAACAGCCUUGCAGGCAGCUGCAGGCCCAGGGCUCAUGUGGCCCGAGGCCAUGGCUGGGGGACAGGAAAACCCUUCUCAUUCUUCCUCGGUGGGUGCCUCAGCGGGGCUGGAGUGGGAGGCAGAAAAGGCAGGUGAGUUCAGCCAGCAGCCAAGGAGCUGCCCACACAUCCCACCUCUCUCCCUUGGACAGGGCGGGGAGGCGGUGGGAGAGAAGAGGUGGACAGGAGGAAGCGCUCCAGGGAACUGGCCUUGUCUAGUUGGCCUCCUUCCUGAGCCGCCUCAGUCAUCCAGCCCAGGAGGCUCUGAAGGAAGGGUUCUGACACCUGCUUGCCUGGCAGUGACUGCCACAAAAGACCCUGCCAGAACCACAGGUUCGCACGGGGGCCAUUGAGACCCUGCACAAAAAGUCCUCCCACGGGCCAUCUGCCCAGCGCCCCCGUGCUCAACCUCAGAGCGACGCCAUUCUAGUGCUCACUCUGUGUGGCCUAGGUGUAUUGUUUCACAGUAUCUGAUGUCAUCCUUCUCGUUUUUUGUUUUAAAAAACUUCCCCUUGCCUCAGCCUCUUUGAAUCCACACAGUUUCCUGUGUUUCCCACUGCAAUGCUCUCCUGUUCCCCAGUAAAUAUCCAUAUUCUCUGAAGACUUUCUCUGACUUUUCAUUUUAAGCUGCCGAUCCUAGUGAGCAAGAUAGCCUGCCUGGCUACCCCUUCCCAGGACCCAAAUCACUGGAUUCCAUCUCCUGCACCUCUGUCUUUCAAUCUGUCUCUGGUUUCCAGUAGUUACUUUAAAAGUGAUUCACAGAACAAAUAUGUUCCAGGUCCUUGUCUUGAACAAGGAAUUAGACAAGACAAACUAAAAAUGAUGUAAAAAGUUGAUUUUAAAAUGAGAGGUAAAGGGUCAGGGAUUUAGCUCAGUGGUUUCACCACCUGCUCCACAAGCGCGAGGACCUGAGUUCAAUCCCUGGUACCCAAAAAAAAAAAAGAGAGAGAAGUAAAGUGGUUUGGAAAGAACCAGCUCUGCAGAGUGAAAAGCAGAGAGAGAGAGGGAGAAAGAGAAACAUCAAACGUACAUCCGGGGUCUAGCAAACCCAGGUCAGGCUACAGU